GGCAACAAGGGCAAAACUCCAUCUCAAAAAAGAAAGAAAAAAGAAAAAGAAAAUUAUCUUUGAUGGGUCAAAGACUUAAACAUAAAACUCAAAACUAUAUAAACCCUGGAAGACAACCUAAGCAAUACCAUCCUGGACAUAGGAAAGAGCAAAGAAUUCUUGACCAAGACACCAAAGUAAUGGCAACAAAAGCAAAAAUUAACAAGUGAGAUCUAAUUAAACUUAAGAGCUUCUGCACAGUAAAAGAAACUGUCAACAGAGGAUGGGUACGGUGGCUCACGCCUGUAAUCCCAGCACUUUGGGAGGUCGAGGCGGGUGGAUCACAAGGUCAGGAGAUGGAGACCAUCCUGGCUAACACGGUGAAACCCCGUCUCUACUGAAAAUACAAAAUAUUAGUCGGGUGUGGUGGCGCCUGUAGUCCCAGCUACUCGGGAGACUGAGGCAGGAGAGUGGCAUGAACCUGGGAGGCGGAGCUUGCAGUGAGCCAAGAUAGUGCCACUGCACUCCAGCCUGGGCGACUGAGCGAGACUCCGUCUCAAAAAAAAACAAAAAAAGAAAAGAAACUGUCAAGACAACCUACAGAAAAUAUUUGCAAACUAUGCAUCCAUAUUCAUCAGGGUUCUCUGGAGGGACAGAACUAUAGGAUAGAUGAAUAUAUAAAGAGUUUAUUAAGGAGUAGUGACUCACACGAUCACAAAGUGAGGUCCCACAAUAGGCUGUCUGCAAACUGAGGAGCAAGGAAGCCAGUCCGAGUCCCUAAGCUGAAGAACUUGGAGUCUGAUGUUCGCGGGCAGGAAGCAUCCAGCACGGGAGAAAAUUGUAGGCCAGAAGACUAAUCUACUCUUCUGCCUGCUUUUAUUCUGGCCGCACUGGCAGCUGAUUAGAUGGUGUCCACCCAGAUUGAGGGUGGGUCUGCCUUUCCCAGUACACUGACUCAAAUGUUAUCUCCUUCGGCAACACCCUCACAAACACACCUAGAAACAAUACUUUGCGUCCUUAAAUCCAAUCAAGUUGACACUUAAUAUUAACUAUCACAGUACCUGACAAAGGUCUAAUAUUCAGCACGGAUAAGGAACUUAAACGAAUUUACAAGAGAAAAACAACUCCAUUAAAACGUGAACAAAGGACGUAAGUAGACACUUUUCAAAAGACAUACAUGUGGCCUGGCAUGGUAGUUCACACCUAUAAUGGCAACACUUAGGGAGGCCAAGGCGGGCAGAUCACCUGAGGUCAGGAGUUUGAGACAGGGUCGGCCAACAUGGUGAAAGUCUGUCUCUAACAAAAAUGCAAAAAUAAACUGGGCAUGGUGGCGGGCACCUGUAAUCCCAGCUACUUGGUAGGCUGAGGCAGAGAAUUGCUUGAACCCAGGAGGCGGAGGUAGCAGGGAGCUGAGUUCUGCCUUUGGGCAACUCCAGUCAACAGAGCGAGACUCCAUCUCAGAAAAAAAAAAAAAA
rnacentral:lncRNA from 1 species